AGAGUUUGAUCCUGGCUCAGGAUGAACGCUAGCGAUAGGCUUAACACAUGCAAGUCGAGGGGCAGCAUGGUCUUAGCUUGCUAAGACUGAUGGCGACCGGCGCACGGGUGCGUAACGCGUAUGCAACUUGCCUCACAGAGGGGGAUAACCCGUCGAAAGACGGACUAAUACCGCGUACACUCUAUGUUGGGCAUCCAAGGUAGAGGAAAUGAAAUUCGCUGUGAGAUAGGCAUGCGUCCCAUUAGCUAGUUGGUGAGGUAACGGCUCACCAAGGCAACGAUGGGUAGGGGAACUGAGAGGUUGAACCCCCACACUGGUACUGAGACACGGACCAGACUCCUACGGGAGGCAGCAGUGAGGAAUAUUGGUCAAUGGGCGAGAGCCUGAACCAGCCAAGUCGCGUGAAGGAUGACUGUCUUAUGGAUUGUAAACUUCUUUUAUACGGGAAUAACAAGAGUCACGUGUGACUCCCUGCAUGUACCGUAUGAAUAAGCAUCGGCUAACUCCGUGCCAGCAGCCGCGGUAAUACGGAGGAUGCGAGCGUUAUCCGGAUUUAUUGGGUUUAAAGGGUGCGUAGGCGGCCUGUUAAGUCAGCGGUGAAAUCUAGGAGCUUAACUCCUAAAUUGCCAUUGAUACUGGCGGGCUUGAGUGUAGAUGAGGUAGGCGGAAUGCGUGGGGUAGCGGUGGAAUGCAUAGAUAUCACGCAGAACUCC
rnacentral:rRNA from 1 species